GACAAACGCCGGCGGCGUGCCUAAUACAUGCAAGUAGAACGCACAGUUUAUACCGUAGCUUGCUACACCAUAGACUGUGAGUUGCGAACGGGUGAGUAACGCGUAGGUAACCUGCCUGGUAGCGGGGGAUAACUAUUGGAAACGAUAGCUAAUACCGCAUAAUAUUAAUUAUUGCAUGAUAAUUAAUUGAAAGGUGCAAUUGCACCACUACCAGAUGGACCUGCGUUGUAUUAGCUAGUAGGUGAGGUAACGGCUCACCUAGGCGACGAUACAUAGCCGACCUGAGAGGGUGAUCGGCCACACUGGGACUGAGACACGGCCCAGACUCCUACGGGAGGCAGCAGUAGGGAAGCUUCGGCAAUGGACGAAAGUCUGACCGAGCAACGCCGCGUGAGUGAAGAAGGUUUUCGGAUCGUAAAGCUCUGUUGUAAGAGAAGAACGGGUGUGAGAGUGGAAAGUUCACACUGUGACGGUAGCUUACCAGAAAGGGACGGCUAACUACGUG
rnacentral:rRNA from 1 species